CCUACGGGAGGCAGCAGUGAGGAAUAUUGGUCAAUGGGCGAGAGCCUGAACCAGCCAAGUCGCGUGAGGGAGUACUGCCCUAUGGGUUGUAAACCUCUUUUGUCGGGGAGCAAAAGCCGGACGUGUCCGGCUGUGAGAGUACCCGAAGAAAAAGCAUCGGCAAACUCCGUGCCAGCAGCCGCGGUAAUAACGAGGAUGCGAGCGUUAACCGGAUUUAUUGGGUUUAAAGGGUGCGCAGGCGGAUUUUUAAGUCAGCGGGAAAAUCGUGGGGCCAAACCCCAUCCAGCCGGUGAAACUGGGGAUCUAGAGUGUGCGAGAGGUAUGCGGAAUGCGUGGUGUAGCGGUGAAAUGCAUAGAUAUCACGCAGAACCCCGAUUGCGAAGGCAGCAUACCGGUGCACAACUGACGCUCAGGCACGAAAGCGUGGGUAUCGAACAGGAUUAGAUACCCUAGUAGUC
rnacentral:rRNA from 1 species